rnacentral:rRNA from 1 species
AACGAACGCUGGCGGCAGGCUUAACACAUGCAAGUCGAGCGCCCCGCAAGGGGAGCGGCAGACGGGUGAGUAACGCGUGGGAAUCUACCCAUCUCUACGGAAUAACGCAUGGAAACGUGUGCUAAUACCGUAUACGUCCUUCGGGAGAAAGAUUUAUCGGAGAUGGAUGAGCCCGCGUUGGAUUAGCUAGUUGGUGGGGUAAAGGCCUACCAAGGCGACGAUCCAUAGCUGGUCUGGGAGGAUGAUCAGCCACACUGGGACUGAGACACGGCCCAGACUCCUACGGGAGGCAGCAGUGGGGAAUAUUGGACAAUGGGCGCAAGCCUGAUCUAGCCAUGCCGCGUGAGUGAUGAAGGCCCUAGGGUUGUAAAGCUCUUUCACCGGUGAAGAUAAUGACGGUAACCGGAGAAGAAGCCCCGCCUAACUUCGUGCCAGCCGCCGCAGUAAGAC